AAUGGGCGCAAGCCUGAUCCAGCCAUACCGCGUGGGUGAAGAAGGCCUUCGGGUUGUAAAGCCCUUUUGUUGGGAAAGAAAUCCUGUCGAUUAAUACUCGGUGGGGAUGACGGUACCCAAAGAAUAAGCACCGGCUAACUUCGUGCCAGCAGCCGCGGUAAUACGAAGGGUGCAAGCGUUACUCGGAAUUACUGGGCGUAAAGCGUGCGUAGGUGGUGGUUUAAGUCUGCUGUGAAAGCCCUGGGCUCAACCUGGGAAUUGCAGUGGAUACUGGAUCACUAGAGUGUGGUAGAGGGAUGCGGAAUUUCUGGUGUAGCAGUGAAAUGCGUAGAGAUCAGAAGGAACAUCCGUGGCGAAGGCGGCAUCCUGGGCCAACACUGACACUGAGGCACGAAAGCGUGGGGAGCAAA
rnacentral:rRNA from 1 species